CUUCCGUAGGGUGAACCUGCGGAAGGAUCAUU
rnacentral:rRNA from 3 species